AUGAAGUUCACCGAUGAGUAUAAGGGCGACAAGGCCGUGGAGGCGCACGGCAACACCAAGUUGCACAUCAUCCACACCAACGACAAGAAGCAGAUGGCGAUCUCCCUUGCGCACUACGAGCGCCACCUCAGCCUCCAGCGCCACAAGAUCGUCGACAUUGAUCUCGAGUGCACCAUCUUCGACAACUUCCUCGCCGACCCCAGGUACACCUUUGCAGGCUUCUCCAUCGACGGCGACAAAACCAGGCUGGAGCGCGUCAAACUGGAGGUCGCCAACUUCGUCGACAUCCAGAAGGAAUGGAGGGUGCCCGAGGCAACCAAGCCGUUGGACUCCCUUGGAGACGUCUCCGACAUGCUCAUCGACGACUACUAUAACAACAUGAAGAAGAAUAUCACCGACGACAAGCACAAGCGCUGGGCCACCCUGCCUCUGUCCAUGAGGCACAUCGAGUACGCGGCAAAGGACGCCUACAUAGCGUACGAGAUAUGGAACCACAUCACCCUCACCCAGGACGACCUUCGCUGUGCAAAGAUGGAGAAGGAGGAGGCCCCGAAGAAGCGCGCCAGGAGCAGCUGGGGAUGGGACGAGCCUAACUGGUGA
rnacentral:rRNA from 1 species